rnacentral:rRNA from 1 species
GGUCACCAAACUUUGAUAAUUAAUGGCCUCUCGAGUUUUUGUACUGAAUAAGUCAAAACUUUCAACAACGGAUCUCUUGGUUCUGGCAUCGAUGAAAACGCAGCGAAAUGCGAUAAGUAAUGUGAAUUGCAGAAUUCAGUGAAUCAUCGAAUCUUUGAACGCACAUUGCGCCCGCCAUUUUUUUGUAAGAAGCCUGUUCGAGCGUCAUUUCAACCAUCAAGCCCCCGGGCUUGUGUUGGGGACCUGCGGCUGCCGCAGGCCCUUAAAAGCAGUGGCGGGCUCGCUGUCGCACCGAGCGUAGUAGCAUUCUUCUCGCUCUGGUCGCGCCGCGGGUUCCGGCCGUUAAACCACCUUUAACCCAAGGUGACCUCGAUUCAGGAGGAAAA